AUUGAACGCUGGCGGCAGGCCUAACACAUGCAAGUCGAGCGGAUGAAGGGAGCUUGCUCCUGGAUUCAGCGGCGGACGGGUGAGUAAUGCCUAGGAAUCUGCCUGGUAGUGGGGGAUAACGUCCGGAAACGGGCGCUAAUACCGCAUACGUCCUGAGGGAGAAAGUGGGGGAUCUUCGGACCUCACGCUAUCAGAUGAGCCUAGGUCGGAUUAGCUAGUUGGUGGGGUAAAGGCCUACCAAGGCGACGAUCCGUAACUGGUCUGAGAGGAUGAUCAGUCACACUGGAACUGAGACACGGUCCAGACUCCUACGGGAGGCAGCAGUGGGGAAUAUUGGACAAAGGGCGAAAGCCUGAUCCAGCCAUGCCGCGUGUGUUAAGAAGGUCUUCGGAUUGUAAAGCACUUUAAGUUGGGAGGAAGGGCAGUAAGUUAAUACCUUGCUGUUUUGACGUUACCAACAGAAUAAGCACCGGCUAACUUCGUG
rnacentral:rRNA from 1 species